GACGAACGCUGGCGGCGGGCUUAACACAUGCAAGUCGAACGGAAAGGCCCUGCGUUUGUGGGCUGCUCGAUGGCCGAACGGGGGCGGAACACGUGAGUAACCUGCCCUUGACUUUGGGAUAACUUCACGAAACGGGGGCUACGACCGUAUAGGAUCUCCUGCUGCAGGGUGGGCAUUGGAAAGUUGCGGCGGUUGGGGUUGGACGCGCGGCUGAUCGGCUAGUUGGUUGGCGAGGUGCUUACCAAGGCAUUGAAGGAUAGCCGGCCUGAGAGGGGGGCCGGGGACAUUAGGACUGCGAGAGGGACCAGAGGCGUACGGGAGGCAGCAGUGGGGAGUCUUGUCCAAUGGGAGGAAGCGUGAUGCAGAAGCGUCGCGUGCGGGAUGACGGUUUGCGGGUUGUAAACAGCUUUAGCUUGUGACGAAGCGUGAGUGACGGUAAUGGGUAAAGAAGCACCGGCUAACUACGUG
rnacentral:rRNA from 1 species